rnacentral:piRNA from 1 species
UGUGGUUCCUAAUCUUGUUUGUGAAACUUGU